UGCCCCUUGGUGUAACUGGCAACACGUCUGCCUCUGGAGCAGAAGAGUCUAGGUUCGAGACCUAGAGGGGCAAC
rnacentral:tRNA from 1 species